CCAGCGCGGUUGACGCGGCAGCGGAUCCCGGCAACGCGAGUGGAGGGAUGAACGAUGGCAUUGGAGAGAGGGAAAAGAAAACGACGGGAACGAAGUGAAAGUGAUGAGGGUUUGUGUAAUGUGGCGUUAAAUGUGGUGGUGGAGAUAAGGCGCAUGGUGAACCGUGCGCCGGAUAAGGAAAUGGCUCUUGCCAUAUCACACUUACAGUGCUUCAAGAUUAGGGUUUUGAGAGGU
rnacentral:lncRNA from 1 species